UACGUAGGGUGCGAGCGUUGUCCGGAAUUACUGGGCGUAAAGAGCUCGUAGGUGGUUUGUCGCGUUGUUCGUGAAAACCGGGGGCUUAACCCUCGGCGUGCGGGCGAUACGGGCAGACUUGAGUACUGCAGGGGAGACUGGAAUUCCUGGUGUAGCGGUGGAAUGCGCAGAUAUCAGGAGGAACACCGGUGGCGAAGGCGGUUCUCUGGGACGGUACUGACGCUGAGACGCGAAAGCGUGGGGAGCGAACAGG
rnacentral:rRNA from 1 species